rnacentral:rRNA from 1 species
UACGUAGGGAGCGAGCGUUGUCCGGAUUCAUUGGGCGUAAAGAGCUCGUAGGCGGCUUGGUAAGUCGGAUGUGAAACCUCCAGGCUCAACCUGGAGUCGCCAUCCGAUACUGCCAUGGCUAGAGUCCGGUAGGGGCCCACGGAAUUCCUGGUGUAGCGGUGAAAUGCAUAGAUAUGACACAGAACACCGAUUGCGAAGGCAGCUGGCGAAACUGUAACUGACGCUGAGGCACGAAAGCGUGGGGAUCAAACAGG